UAAAUAUUACUCAGUCCUGGUUUACACUGAAUGCCAUGCAUCCCAUCCCUAGCAAUAGGAUGGAUUAAUAAUUAAUGGAAAUUAACAGAAAUAAUUCUCACCUGAAUGUCAGGUGAUAAAAAGCAGCAAAAGCCCCUUUGGAAACCAGUUAGCUGUGCUAAUACUAGUGUAGAAUUUGAUUGGAGAAGCCUUACUUAAUUUUACUACUAGAAGAGGUAUUUAACCAAAAAAAAGGUGACUUCUAUUGCCUCGUGAGGUACAUACUACUGAGCUACCUGCCAAACAAUCUUUCUGCUUCAAGGCUAUGUCUUUUCAAGGAAUAUUUGUAUCUGGGCAUUUCAUUCUUUUUUCAAAAGCUGAUUGCCAACAGCACAGAUUGACUUGGCCCAGUAUCCAAGAUUCCUAUCACUGAAGAAACUGUACAUAUUCCCUAGUAUAAGCAAGAACACUGAAAACUGAAAGGAAGAUUCUUCUGGACAGAGUUUUAUAGUCAUCACUGACUUUCUCUGAAUAUAUAAGCCUAAUUUUCUGAAGUUUUAUGGAGAAAGAAAGCUUU